GUUCAAACGAGGGCGAGGGGGCGCACGCGCGCUCUGAAGAUGGUAGUCACAGCCGGUUACAGCGGUAAGCUAGCUACCUAGCUACAGGAGCUAGCACUAUAACUAAACACUACAAAUACAAACACAUCUGAACGAGUUCGAAACGAGUUUUUAUUUCAAGAAGUGAUGAAUCGGGAAAGAAGAUAAUUGAAGUUGCCGUCAGAGGAAAACGCGGACGUCGCCUCCAGGUGGCGCUGCUCAGAAACUAAACCCACCGACUGUGAUGUGGAUCUGUCAGCAACAAACGAAGCUUUCUGACAACAACAACAACAACAGACAAGCGCAGGCAGAGAGAUGCGCACUCGAUGUUGGGGAUGACUGCAGAUGAGUCAGAAGGGGAGAGGAGGGAAUCCUUGGCUCUUUGUGUGCCAGAUCUAUAGGAGAAUGUGCGAGGCUUCGAGGAUGAGGGAGAGAUGGAAGGCUGCUGCGCCUAAAACGUCAACCUGUGUCGACCUCAGAGGCUGAAUGUUGUUCAGUUUAGCACCUGUCUCGUGGUGCUGAACUGGCAAAGCCGGCACAAACAAAGCGUUGGCUCCUCCUGAUGCGGCGGAUGCCAGGUAUCGAUCAAAAGGACCGAACCGCUUUGCGAAUGCAAAUUGCCGGGGAUCGGCAAGUUGUCACUGUUUGCAGAAAAAAAACAAACAGACAACAACAAAAGAAAAAGCACACGGAGAUGGAGGUGAAAAAUAUUCACAUGCUAAAAUUAGGGUGUCAUAUACCGGAUGAUUUUGGAUUGUGGCUCAAAGCUUCAAUUUACAGCUUUCUAAAUGCAGUAGGUUUUCCCUUAAGGAGGGAAACACACACACCGCAGCUACCCACAGGCUGAAAAGAACACAAUGUCUCCGUAUCAGUUUCCCAAACUGAAAAAAGAAAACUUUUAAACAUCACCCUCUGGUGGCGCUUCGGUGCACGACACUUUCCUCGAACCCUGAUAAAAGCGGGAUUUAUUUACCUGAUUGUGGUUUAUUAUUGUAAGCGCCAGGUGUUGAAUUGAAUGGAAAAUCGCAUCGAAGGGAGAGACGGUGCAUGCGAAAGUAGCUGCAUGAAGCUGUGCAGCGGGUGACAUGCGCCGUGGGCGUCGGGUUUUAUAGGGUGGCAUGACGCCGAGGGACAGUGAGUCAGAGUCAAUGAUAAGGACCGAGAGCGCUGACUGACCUCCCUCAACCGCCCCUUUCUCUUUGCAUCUCGUCGUUCGCACGUGGGUCCCCCCCCCCCCGUCUGUCUGCCUGCCUGCCUGCCUGUCUGUCUCUCAGCCUUUGUUCAAAGACGGUGACUCAUAACUUACCCUUUCCUUCCCUUUCUUUUUGUACCACCGACUUUUGACUUUUGCUUCAGUCACUUUUAUUCCGUCAGACACUUUUUCUAUCUCGCGAGCCUCCCGCCGCGAUCGGGGAGUGGAGCCUUCAGGUCUAUUUGCGAUUGGAAAAGCUCUCUCUGACUCACUCCCUCACACACACACACACACAAACACACACUUUAUAGGUGAUGACUCAUUGCGACACAGGCCAUUCAGACCCACGGUACACCAAACUGGUACGUGAGUGAGCGUUAGCGUGACUGUGUUUGCAUACACAUUAACCUUUAUGUGCAUUAGGGUGCUGUUGCGCAGGGGGCCCGUGACACACCACUUACACGGCUUUUAUCUACCGAGCGCCUGAGAUAAUAAGUGUUGCAGUAAAGCAGGUUCUGGAAGCCACCGAGCUUUGUUAUCCGAUCUAAAAAACAAAAAAAUAGUUCCUCUUUGUAAGUGCAUGUUGUGUCUUUGUUGAACGGUUGAUGAAACACGCGUAAAAUGCGUUGUGUGUUUACGCGCGUGAGGCCAGAGGCAGAGAAGAAUUCGCCGUGACAUGGGCAGCUGAGGAAUGAUAAAUAUGUUGAGUGACUCAUGCAGGACAGGCAUCACAGGAGCCGUCAGCUUUCACCGUGACAGACAACACAUAAUGUAACACAUUCGCACAUAAUGCGCUCCACCUAUACGGGGUAGCGUCUCGCGCCCGAACCUAUAUCUCCAGACACUCACAGGCAGCGCGCUGCGGAGUGUCCCCGACUUCUGUUGUACCAAUUUUUUUUUUCUUUUCUUUCUUUUUUUUUUGUAUGUCUGCGGAAGAGAUGAGUCACUUUGCUGCGCUCGUCACGUAACUACUGUCACUUAGACUGAUUCACACAUUUCUAAAAUAACAAUCAACCCCUCUGCCUGCGUUUUUAUGCAGAGCGACUGAGGGUACACCGUGUACUUUUUAUAGAAAAAUAUUCCUCACAACAACACGAAGCACGAAAACCGACUCCUAUUCACAUUUUAUUGGUUGUUUUUAUUAAUAAACACCAUAGGAGUAGCGUUUUGACUUGUGUGUGCUAUAUAAAAAAAUAAGACAUUAGUUGGCUGGAAUACAAAUUGUAGUAAGUAAACAGAUUUCAUAGGAGAAAAAAAAAUAAGA